AGCCCUACGGGGCGCAGCAGUGAGGAAUAUUGGUCAAUGGGCGCGAGCCUGAACCAGCCAAGUAGCGUGAAGGAUGACUGCCCUACGGGUUGUAAACUUCUUUUAUAAGGGAAGAAUAAUGACUACGUGUAGUCAGAUGCCCGUACCUUAUGAAUAAGCAUCGGCUAACUCCGUGCCAGCAGCCGCGGUAAUACGGAGGAUGCGAGCGUUAUCCGGAUUUAUUGGGUUUAAAGGGUGCGUAGGCGGUAUUUUAAGUUAGUGGUAAAACGUCGGGGCUUCACCUUGAUUGGCCAUUAAAACUGGAG
rnacentral:rRNA from 1 species